rnacentral:rRNA from 1 species
AGUACACAAGUGGUUGCCCAUGAGGCCUCCUCCUGCUCGGCUUAUUCAUUGAGUUUGUAGAUGGAGGAUGUGAUUCCAGCAAGACAGAGACGAUGGCGAUGACAAGUGAGAUUUAUGUUAAGGAGUAUUAGCAUAUGCUCACAGGAUCACUGGAAGCUUAUAAAGGUGGAAAUUAGCAAGCAAGCUACAGUUGAUGCAUGGAUGACCAAGUUUACUUAUUACUUUAUGAAGAUGAUGAUUCCUGCAUGUUGAUUGUGCUUCAAGGUCGAAGAGGAUGGGAGGAGGGGAAGUGCGCUCUAUAUUUUGUUAUGCACACCUUUCUAAACUAUACUUGUCUUCUUAACACAUGUUCAUUGUCCAGUAGAAGCUGUAGAUUUCAGCGUACAAUAAUUUCCAAAACGGUAGAAGGUGUUACUAAUAUGGUGAGUGAUUUAAGGGGAGGCAUGGGGAGAAGAGCAGUCCAAAUGGUGGAUGGAGCAUGUGACCUGUUGAUGUUAGUUUCCAUUUUCGGAAAGAACAAAUUUUCUAUAAUUUGAGUGUAUGGUGAUGUGUUAAAGUCAAUCAUUUGGAUUCCCAACUAGACCAUUGUGUGUGUUCUUUAUUUUAUUGUGCAUUGAUAAAAUAUUUCAGUGCCCGUGUGCACCAAGUUGAAUUUUGAAACAGAUGAGGGGACAACAC